AAAAAAAUUUAUUUCUCAAAUGAAUACAGUUCGUUUACAAUACACUCAAGUUGAUGGUAUCUAUAGCCAGCAGAGAUCGAUGACUGCUGUGUCCUAUACACAGUCGUACAGAGGUUACAGAUGCCUACGAGAGGGAAGGAACAGUGAAAGAAGUCGACAUUUUACUGUGCUGGAAGGAAAGCAACUCUUGCAACAGGUAGAAAAUUUUGGCAAGAACAAUUUGUCCAGAAAGGGAGAAGGGGCAGAGGACACGGCUUCUGCUUAGCAAGUACAUCUCAAACACCGACACGUUCCCUCCCACCCCGCACGGCUGCAGCCCACGGUACAAAGAGGCACACAUGGUCAAGAUGGUUAAGUAAAAAUAAAGGCUUUUACCAGUUUGUUUGCCAUCCAUCUACAAUCUAUUUGUGCAACGUCUCAAGUCACAGCUCUACUUUAUUCUUGAAACAUUUCCCUUUUGCUUCGGAAGCGCCCAGGACCUUUUACGGUGGGAACACAUUCACGCUCCUGCCGAAGCAAUGGGACACCAAAACAGAGGAGCAGUUACCAGCAUAUGAGAAAGAGCAGACACAUGGGACAGGAUCAAUCCACCAGACUGGUUUAUUAGAAUUUUAUUCAGAAAAGGAAUCCCAAACAGCAUGACUUUUUCUUUUUUUGAGCAAUUUAAAUCUGUGGUAUUAAGUACGCAAAAUUUCUAUGUGUGCCAGUGCUUCCAGCAGUCUCCAAAACGAACCCAGCUCACUGGCCAGUGAGCACACACAAUGCCAACUGAGCCACCUUCUGAAAAUCCUUUAAUGUUAGCUCGUAACCAAAUGCUACCAAUUACUGUGAAAGCUCUGAAGUAACACCUGCUGACAAUGUCCUUGUCCAUGAUCACACACCUCCAGCCACGUGAACAGCCCAUUUUUUCCUCCACCAAGCACUGUUUAACCAUGAGGCUACCUGGGGAGCUGAACUGCUUAUACCAAGGGAAGAGACAAGAACAACAGGAAGGAAGGUCUGUCCCCUGUGAGCUCAAAGCGUCACUGCUCCCCUGGAAUGCUGAUCUGUACACCAGUGCCUGUAAAACCAACAUUUCUGACCCAAAACUCGCUCUGCCCGCCCCACUGCUGUGCUGCAGCUCACUUUUCACACCUGCCUGCAAACAGACACCAAGUACAAUGAGCUAGAAGCAGGUUUUUCUACAGGAAAACAAUGUGUAGCUGUCUCAAGGAGAGAUUCAACACUGAAAACUGCAAAAAUGAGAAGAUUUCACUGAAAAACAGAAAUCAGGUUCAAAAAAAAGUAAACACUACAGCCACAGGAGAGAAGUGAUGCACAAAAGCGAGUACCCAGAAGAAGCCAUUCUGCACUGCAAAGUUGCCAGAAGCCAAACUCCAUCUCUGGCCUUCUUCCUCUCUCCAAGUUUUGUUGAUGUUCAAUUAUCCUCACUACUUCAGGAGCAAUACUCAAGUUUUCACUUUGUUGGCACACCAUCAGGUUCCAAAACCUCCACAAGUUCUUUAAAUUCAGCAUUGCUCCAGUGGGCAUCACUUUGCUAUUACAUCUGAGUGGACACUACCUACCAAGACACGUAUUUUCUAUCAAAGAAAUUGGUUUUGAAGAUAUUUAAGAGAUUUGCAAGUGUAAGCAAAAUGAAAGUUUAUUAGUAACUAUUGUCAAAGCUAAGUUUUGCACACCUGUACUGAAAUGGGUUGUGGAUCUAUGAUUUAUGGGCAAGCAUGGCCCUAAACUCAACAUACAGCCAUAUUUUUGUGUUGCUAGCUAGUGUUAUAGCAUUAAUUUUCCAACUGCCAAAUGCGUUUGAAAGACCUGUGUAAUUCUCAGCAAUUAAAAAAAACUCCUUUCAUUUAAAUAAACUUGCCCUCUGAGCAUCUGUUUUACAACAAAUGGGUUAAAGAAAGCAAGAUGGCAAACACAGGACUGACCCCAGGGGGUUUCAGCCUCAGGCAGAGCUGCAAUGGGGUGGGAGGGAAGAGCUCUGGCUCCCAGCAGGGAGGGGCUCCAACAACUGGAUUCACUGGAAGAUGCAAAUAUGCAAGAAUUGCACAAGUUUGUAUCACAGGGUUACCACUGUCACAACACGGUUCUCCCUCAGAUCACCCAGUAAGUCACUCUCAUAAGGUGAUGUGAAUCAUCACAAACAUUUUCUAGAUGAAAAGUGAGGCAGAAUCAUUUCCUCAGGUCAGAAAUGGAACCUGCUUCAGAGCCAGCUGGUUCCAAAGCUCCUGGCUGGACAGCUUGCCAAUGUCUCAAAACGGCUUCAAAUAGAACCUGUUGGAAAAGCUCUUCCAUCUUGGUCUGAAAAUGCACUUUUUUUAGCAGCUUCAAGCCCAAACUGGCAUCUAAGCACACAUGUGCUUACUUCUGCACAGUGCAGUGUCUACAAUGGGGAGCUGGUGCCAGAGGAUGGGGGACUGUUCCUCUUCCCACACCCAAGUGAUCACAGGAUUCUGUCCCCAGACAUCGCCACCCCUGCUGCUGGCAAACGUCUUUCUGAACUCAUCUGUGACAUUUAAUCCUCACCUCCACAUCCCCACCGAGUCAGAGCUUUGCACUGCUCCCCAACAUUCACUGGACAACACUCCCCAUGUCCCUGCAACCUCCAAGUAGGUGGAGAGGGGAGAGGCAAUGGAGUGUAUGGAAAGCUGCAGGAGCACAGUAAAGAGCGAGGACAUCACUGGACAGGCAACAUUCAAAUAAAGGCAGAAUUAAUGAUUCGCAUUAGAUAAACAUAUCAAGGUUAAAUUUUAUUUUAAAAAAUUGCAAGUCUACCAGGAAGUAGGUUUCUUUGAUGACAUUACUCUCCAGAAACCAUUUAUUUUAAAAGCUUCUUCUCUCUGGAUAGUUCUAAUUCACAAAUAAUUCAGGGCUCACUUUGAUUAAGUAAUUCAACACAAAACCAACUCUGACCAAGGAUUUUGAGCUUUAAAAACAGUUCAAGAAAAAUACUAACCAUCCUACCAAUGCAAAUACUAGUUUUUCCAGCUCUGUUCCUGGUCAGAAAAAGGCACAUACUUGCUCUCAGUGAGUUCAAGUCCUACACAAAAAGUUCAGGAUACCCAAGCUCGUGUCUAAUGUCCCUGAAAGGUGUGAGCUAAUCACAGCUCACCUGACACCUACCCACCUCCUACCCAGUCCAUUGUUUCUACAGGCUUUUGUCACUAUCCCACCCCCACAUCCAGAGCUGAUCUGUGCUCCACGCAGCCACAGCAUCCUCAACAUGGCCAAUUCCAUACAGGCAGUGAGGGAGAGACCCUGCUCAGGGAAUGGGGAGGUAGGUAAGAGCUGAGUAAGAGCAGAGCAACUACAGUGCUACAACAAAAUGACCUCUACACCUGCCUGCUGCUCUUCUGGGAGCCAGGCACACCUCCAGGCAACCAGGAAUCUCUCAGGGCAUCUGUGCUGUACAGAAGGGCCACAUAUUUCUCACAAAAGCCCUCGGGUCGGUGCUGUCUGAACCAGCAGAUCCACUGGAAGCUGCAUGUGUUUCACCCAAAGUAAGGGAUUCCAAGGUUUAGAUAAAACCACAGUUCUAUUUCAGGGGGCAGCUGCCACCUGCUUGCAGCACAGUCCUGGAGAAGAACAACCACUCCUAAAAAUAUACAGGAACAUGCUUUUUCCCCUCAUAUAUUAGUUUUUGAAUUAACAGAGUAGUUUGGGUUGGAAGGGAUCUUUUAAAGCUCAUCCAGACAAACCCCCCUGCUGUGACCUGGGACCUCUCCAUCAGGUUGCUCCAAGCCCCACCCAAUCUGACACCCUGGAUGUUUUCAGGGAUGGGGCAACCACAGCCUCUGGGCAACCUGUGCCAGUGUUUCAUCACACACUAAAUCUAAUUUGAACCGACAUCCCUCAGUUUAAAACCAUCACGCCAAAUCCUCUGGCAAAAAACCCUCCUAAAAGUUCACCCCCAUUGUUCUUACAGGCCUUUCCAAGCACUGAAAGGUACUGAAAGAAAACACCAGCUGUCAAGUUUUGCUUUUGUAUUUACUACAGGAGGCAAACAAGGCUCUGCUGCUUCUUCAUUAGCGUCAAUAUUCUGUUUUGAUGUUCCCACUUGAUAAUUUUUAAAGGAGUUUGAAUAACUGCUACAGUGCUCUGUUACUUUGAGUCUGCCCUUUCUGCCUCUUCCAGCUUUUUUCUUUCCCUUGUUGAACUAUUCCAAGAGCCACAGGAUCCCCAUCUCCUGGAGGAGGUCCUCCCUGUCCACCUGCAGCCGCUCCUUGUUGAGUUUUGGUUUGCUGUUGUUUGGUUUUUUUUUUGAAGUAUUUUAAUAAUGUCUAUUUUCAGUAGUUUAUUAGCUCUUAUUUAAUUUGGGUACUUUGAACCAUCAUGCACCCUCCAAUGACUUCAACAGAAAUAUUUCUGCUGGAAUUAAACAUCACAUAUGGCAGCUCAUGGACACCAAGGCAAGAGAUUUGUGUCCAACAGAAAACUGCUUCAUCAGGUGCAAGUUCAUUCCUUUUGAUAGAAAAAAGAAGCAGCAACCUCUUUCUAAAUCUCAACAGGUUCAGUAUCAGCUAAAUAUAGAGAGAAACAAAGCAGCUGGUUGACAGGCAGGGGAGGAGAUGGAGGGUAUUGCUGCAAACAAGCUCAUGGUGCAAGAUUUUUGGCCCUUUUUAGUCUAAAAGAUAGAAACAGCUACUACUAAAAGGGUCAGGAGACACAUAUUUGGCUCAGAAUUUAGACUGAAAAACGCUUUCUAAACCCCAGCCUAGUAACAUAGAGAAAUUGGAAAUAUAAAAGAAUUGAACAUCAUGGCAAGCUUAAUACCAACACAGUGGCAUUGGGCACUGCAAUAAGACAAGAAAGUUGGUACAAGCUACAAGAGACAUUGGAUUAUGUCUCGAACUUGAAUCAGAAGAAAUUACAGAGCAAAGAGAGUCAACUUGUGCCUGGGGAGCUGCAGCAUCCCCUCAACAACGAGGUGUGGGCAACUCAGCAAGGGCACUGCCCAAUGCUGGGACUCUGAACCCCACGUAUUUCGUUGAUGAUGUCCAGAAGCUCUGCUUACUCCUAGAAAAAGUCUGGACAUGAACAUAUUCCUGCAAAGAGAUCACUUGGAAUUAUUCAGUGAGUUCUGUGGUUAAGCUCCUGAUAUUCAAAAAUAUCCUGACAUCAAGUUAUUCCACAUCUUGAAUGCCCAACACUAUAAACAGUAAUAAAAUGCACAAAAUCAUUUUAGUUAUAGAGAAACAAGGUACUAAUGAAGCACUUGUCUAUGGCAAGCGGGUUAAUUGUCUCCUCUCAAACACAACUGGUUAAGCCAACUUUCUUUGGAGAAGAAAACCAAAACAUUCAGAAACUUCUCCUGCCUAAAAAUAAGUGUUAAAAGCAACACACAGAGCAGACACACAGACCUAUGAGCUGCACACAGACCACCAAUAAAUAUACAGAAACAUCACAACAAAGGACAAGGCUCAUCAUAAAAGAAAAGUCCCAUAACUGCUACUCAGACCGAUACCAAAGGAAAGGGAAGUGUUUUUUGCAGGCAUGUGCAAGCACAUUACAGUGUCAAAGCACAACUUUGCUAUUAUUAUUACUUUAUGCAGCAUUACAAGGUUACUGAGGUGCAGUGUUUAAUAGUCUAGUCUACAGCUUUUCCUGACUGCAGGAACGCUCACCAAACUCACCACAGACCCGCCCCCCUCGUGGCAUCACCCGGCCACCAAGCUGCUCCCACGCAGAGCAUCCAGCUCCCAGCUGGCAGUCAGAAGACACACGGAUCCAUCCCAAACACACACGAGCCAUGUGAGGACCAACCAUCUCCCAAGCCACCCUCCUAAGAUCCCUUCAGUUUGUCUCCAGCUUUGGGAACGUGCUUCUCCUAAGAGAAGACAUCCUUCAGGAGUUACAGAUUCCUUUCAGCACCAAUCACGUCCCCAUGGCUUCUCCCACACCCCAACCCCCAGUCCCCUCAAUAUGAAGAGGUAAAUCACAUUGAUCAAACCGAACCUAACCCCAUUGAUCAAACGCAAACCUACUGGCUGAAUUUGGUGAUCGCUCCUCAAUGCCUCUCCCUCCAAAGGAAAACACCUUCCUGGUUAUUCUUGGUCCUGACUCAGAGAAGCUGAUGCUUGAAAGUACCUAAAAGAUACCAUCAAACACUUGGCAUUUUCAAUAAUUUAUCUUAAAUUUGCAGCCACGUACAACUGGAAAAUAAAAAUCUACAGCACCAUCUUCUAAAAAGGCACUUUCUGAGGACUGUCUUGCUUAAAAAAAAUAAAAGUCACUCCAAGUUUUAAACAGUGGAACUGCUUUGUUUGAAAAGGACCCUACGGUAACAACCCGUGUCAGGUGAGGGGGUACCUCAGACAGAUGUGAAAGGCCAGGGCACGUGGGAUGGAAAGUGGAUGGAGUCUCCCCAACACCCUCAUUCCUGCCAAACCAAUGCUUUGAUAUUUUCCCUCGCACGCCUCUCCCUUACAACUCCUUCCCCACCAUAUGCACACCUUUGUCUACUCAGAGGACAACAAUUUGGGUUUUAGUGUCACGGAGAUCUGGACUUUUGAGAUUCUGCUUGGGAGGUAAGAUGUAGGAUCCUGUAUCCAUCUUGCUCAUACUUCAACUACAGAAAGUACAAAAUCUUCUACCAGCAGAAAGCAUCAACGAGCUCAAGCUCUAACCACAAUAUUUUACAAAAACAAGGAGUGAAUUGGCUAAGUGAAGUUUGAUUUCAACAUGUGCCAAACCUAAAAUGAUAUUCCAAACAUGCAGCAUCAACCUAAAGUACCAUCUUUGGGAAGAAAAGACAGACAGAAAUCUUUCCCUUUGACACCCCUAUGGAAUUUUUUACUAGAUCCAAACAGCCUGCCAGUAGCAGCCAUGAAACUCCACAGCACUGAAAGGGACAGAGUAUCUGCCCAGCCUGACCAGAGACCACAAUGGCCAUUUAGAAACCACCACUUUUGAAAACUGAAUUUACAGGUUCAACACACAUAAUCUGAGCUUUUGAUUCCUUGGUUAUAAAAGUGCUUUGAGUAAGGUUCUAAACCCUCAGUUCACAAAACAGGGAAAAUACCAAAAGUGGACAAGAUAUGAAGAAAGUGUAAGAAAAGGGAAGGAAAAUAAAAAAAAACAGGCCUUAAGCUUGAGCUUGGAAUUUCACCAGAGUGAACUUUAAGACUAGUAGAAAACCAGUAUUUGUAGCUGGAAUUUUUACAGCAGACUACAUGGUAUCUCAUGUUGAGCAUUUUAUAGGACAAGUAUUUGUACAUGAAGAAGUGAAAAUCAUUUAGGACCAAGAGCAUCUUGAAACAAUUUGACUGACAACUUCCAGAAACCCAUUUUACUCCUGAAAACCAUUUCUGUGGCCAAACUCCCAAAAGAAGACCGGAAUGAAUACUAUAAAAAUAACUUUUGGACACGUGUAACCAGAUGACACAUGGAACAGUGACACAGCGAUCCUGAGUCAAAUGGCCACGGCUCAAGUCCCUAGAAAGGGAGAAAGGCGACUUCCAGCGGAGCCACUCCUCCUGUUGGCAAAUGUCGCGAGUUUAACGCCUCAACCACAAACAUUCUCUGAUUCUCUCCAGCUCUGGGUCUAGCAGUGGCCAGGUGGGAGGUUUGGGCAGGGCUGGCUGGGUGAGGAGGGGCUCGGUGAUACCCUGGGCCUGACCCCACCACGGGAGCACUUAGUGGCACUUGUUCAGUACAAGUGAGGUCUCGGUGCAGUGUCUGAGGAGAUGGGAACUACUUUUCUCCCCAGGCAGAAACCCGAGGCCGGUGUCUGCAAAGCAAGAAGAGCCAUCAGCCUGUGCCCACAUCCCUCUUUGGACUAUCCACAGCCAGCUCUCGGCCAGAGAGGGGGAUCUGCUGUGCCACUCAAGGUUUCCUCAAACAGCACAUAAAAUUUGAGAUUUUUUUUUUUCUUUUUCAAGGAGAGCAGGUACAAAAAUAAAAGAAAUCCAUAUACUCUGAAAAUAUACUGGAAACUGCCACCACAGAUGAGGUACCAUUUAUCCCGACCCCCCACCCCCAAACUGCAAACAUCAAAAUAUAUAUGUUUUUAAACAAAAGAAGAAUAUCUGGCUAUUUAAUCUCAGUUAAAAUGACAGCACCCUUUGUUACACUUGAUAUUUCACACCAUUAACUCUCUUUUGAAAAAAAACCAAGAUAUCUAACUAACCUUGAUUCCUUGCUUUUCUCCUCAUUCCUUAGUGCAGUAAUUGUCCAUCUCCAUUUAAAUAAAUAUAGCAGCUACAGCAUCAUAAAUGUGUGGCCCUCACAACGUCAGUAACUUGAUAUCGUAAUACAAAGAAGUAUCGGCACUUGACGUAGAUAUUUGCAAAACCGAGAAGAGAGAUUAAAACUUCCAAAUACUCUUCACAUGAAAACCAGGUACAAUGUUACCUUGACAACUGAAGUCACUUUGCCAAUGAAGUUUCUUUAGUUUUUGGUGAAAGUAGUGAGCAAAAAAGCUUCUCAAAUCCGAGUCACCAAGCGUGGGCAGGGUGAGAAGCAGCUUUGAAAGGAGAGCUAGAAGGCUUUAUAAAAAGGAAUUUUCAGCUAAAUGCCAGAAGUCCACAAGAGCUCUUUGUAAAAUAGUUUAAAAAAAAAAAAAGUUCUCAGUUUCAAAAGAAAUUUCUGUAUAAAGCUUAAGCUGAACCUUUUACAAACAGCAUUGCUACUGAGAGAGCUUUAGGAGAAAAGUGUCAGGUCACAGACUGGGAAAAACAUCUGAGAGACUCGCUGAGAAACCACCUUGCUCAAAGGUCUCUGUCACACCUCCGUCCCUGCACCAGGUGUGCCCAAAGGCACCCACAGGGACAGGGCACUCCAAGCUGGGACCUCC
ensembl:lncRNA